rnacentral:lncRNA from 1 species
UCAGAAGAAGGAAGAUCAUUACAAAUUGCAUAUCGGAAACAAUCCUCAUCAGAAUGGGUUUGUAUAAAGUCAUCAUCCAGAAAUACCUAGUUGCAUUAGCUUAUCUCCUUCUUAGAAAUUUAGAAAAAAAAAAGGUUAAAAGUUGAUCAUUUGACGUUGAUUAACGUCGAAGUCGACAAGUAACAAGAGGGAAAAAUAGUGAGAAGUUGUCACUUGAAAAAAACCAGCAUUACAAGGGGCAC